AUUGAACGCUAGCGGGAUGCUUUACACAUGCAAGUCGAACGAGUGGCGGACGGGUGAGUAAUAUAUCGGAACGUGCCCAGUAGCGGGGGAUAACUACUCGAAAGAGUGGCUAAUACCGCAUAAUAUUGGAGAGGCGGAUAUGGGAUUAGCUAGUUGGUGGGGUAAAGGCCAACAAAGGAAACGAUCCGUAGCUGGUUUGAGAGGAGGACCGUCCACACUGGGACUGAGACACGGCCCAGACUCCUACGGGAGGCAGCAGUGGGGAAGUUUGGGCAAUGGGGGAAACCCUGAUCCAGCCAUCCCGCGUGUGUGAGAAGGCCUUCGGGUUGUAAAGUACUUUUGGCAGAGAAGCGGUAUCUGCAGAAUAAGCACCGGCUAACUACGUGCCAGCCGCCGCGGUAAUAC
rnacentral:rRNA from 1 species